rnacentral:rRNA from 1 species
UUGCGGUUAAAAAGCUCGUAGUUGGAUUUCUGUCUGGGAUGGUCGGUCCGCACUUUGUGCGUGCAUCUGAUGCGUCCUCGGCAUCCUUCUGAAGGACAUUGUACUUUACUGUAUGAUGGAUUUCAGAACUUUUACUUUGAGGAAAUUAGAGUGUUCACAGCAAGCAAGCGCUUUGAAUACAUUAGCAUGGAAUAAUAAUAUAGGACUUCAGUACUAUUUUGUUGGUUUCUAGAGCUGAGGUAAUGAUUAAUAGGGACAGUUGGGGGCAUUCGUAUUAACGCGUCAGAGGUGGAAUUCUUGGAUUGCGUUACGACGAACUACUGCGAAAGCAUUUGCCAAGGAUGUUUUCAUUGAUCAAGAACGAAAGUAUGGGGAUCGAAGACGAUUAGAUACCGUCGUAGUCUAUACCAUAAACUAUGCCGACUAGAGAUUGGAGGUCGUUUUUUUAUGACUCCUUCAGCACCUUAUGAGAAAUCAAAGUCUUUGGGUUCCGGGGGGAGUAUGGUCGCAAGGCUGAAACUUAAAGGAAUUGACCGAAGGGC